CAAGCCUUCAGUCCUUGUACCUUUUAGGAUGUAGGGACACCCAGAGAACAGCCCUCAAUAAGAUCUGGAAAGAAGAGCUGUCACCACAGACUUAGAAAAAUAAUAGGUUAUUCCCCUGUCCUGAGUUCUGCUUGAAAAACUGAGAGUUCUAGAACUUUGCAAAAGCUCCUCUAUUGUUCCAAGAUGAGCAUUUUUCUGGGGUGAACUGGGCAGAGGUUUGACUGGCAAGCAGCUCUGGGUGUACAUUUCAUCCAAGAGUCUCAUGGUGGUCGAAGGAGAUCCCCAGAUGCAAAAUCAAAGUUGCUUGGAUUUCCAUUUCUUCCCCAUCUAGGAAAAGGGCAAUGGAAUCAAAGCCUUUAAAAAAUGUAGUAAGAGAAAGACUCUCUAAUUGAUCAGAACCUUCUGGCAACCAGCACUUUGGCCCAUCUACUGAAAAAUACUUUAUCAGUGUCUUUAGUAAAGGCCCCCAAGAUGCACAAUACAUUUUUGGUUGUUGAAAUAGAGUGUCUUCUAAGUCAUCAAGUAAAAGAGAAAUUCUGCUCAGAAGACUUUUGGAUAGUACCCAACAUUUGGUGAGGCUUACUAUAUUACAUGCAUUACCUCGCUAAAUCACCACAUUAGAACACUUACAGGUUAUGACAAAACAAGAAGGCCCUUACAAGAUGCCAGCACCUUGAUCUUGAACUUCUCAGACUCCAGAACUGUAAGCCAAUAAAUUUCUGUUCUUCAUAAA
rnacentral:lncRNA from 1 species